AAAUGCGAUAAGUAGUGUGAAUUGCAGAAUUCAGUGAAUCAUCGAAUCUUUGAACGCACAUUGCGCCCUUUGGUAUUCCAAAGGGCAUGCCUGUUCGAGCGUCAUUUGUACCCUCAAGCUUUGCUUGGUGUUGGGCGUCUUGUCUCCAGUUCGCUGGGGACUCGCCUUAAAGUUAUUGGCAGCCGGCCUACUGGUUUCGGAGCGCAGCACAAGUCGCGCUCUCUUCCAGCCAAGGUCAGCAUCCACAAAGCCUUUUUUCAACUUUUGACCUCGGAUCAGGUAGGGAUACCCGCUGAACUUAAGC
rnacentral:misc_RNA from 1 species